AGGGCUCUAGGAUGACCUACAUAUGACUGACUGCACUGGCAUGCCUCACCCAGCCAGUCAUAGUAGGGAGGCAACCCUCUAGGAGCGGAAGAGUUCAAAGAAUGUAGACGGGUUGAGGGAGAUGGCUCAGCAGGUAAAAGACACUUGCUACCAAGUUUGAAGAUCCGAAUUGGAUCAGGGGACCCGCAUGGUAGGAGGGGACUGACUCCAGAAAGCUGUCCUCUGCGUGGGCGCACACACGUGGAAAAAAAGGAAAUAGCUAAGUGACAGAGGACCGCAGAGGUAAACCCGGGCGGUGAGAGAGGAUUCGAAAAACUGCAAGGGCUCCCAGGGGAGCAGUGCCCGCUCAAGCUGCACCCUCAGGCUCGGCUUCAUCAUGGGGGUGAUGAGGAACCAUAAAGGAGUUCUGGGCGCAUAAGGGAAGCCUGCAAUGGGCCCCAGCUGGCAGGAAGAGCCAGGCGAGGAGCAAAGGUGGCCGGCGAAUGUCAGCAGACAGAUGCACCACACAUGAACCAGCAGCAGUGGCACUACCCAGCAGAAACACCCAGGUCUCCACCAAAGCUGCACAAGUCAGCAGGAGCAACCAGGACCAGCAGGGACACCAGAAGUUCUCUGUCAUGCCUCUUUCAAAGAAGUGAAGAUUGGCAGAGAGGAAGACUCAAAGACUCAAGACCAAGAAGUGUUACAAAGCAUGCCUGCAGUCCCUGUCCUUUGAGUCCUAUUUAUACUUCCUCCAAACAUUAUGUGUCCUUCCACAUGUGCCUCAGCUAAACAGUACAUGAGUCUGUCCUUGCAAUCAUGUCAGUCUGUAUGACAUCACUCUGCCAAUCCACCCAAAUCCUCAGAAACAGCAAGAAACUACCAGAACACCA